GACGAACGCUGGCGGCGUGCCUAAUACAUGCAAGUUGAGCGAUGAAGCUUGGUGCUUGCACCAAUUUGAAGAGCAGCGAACGGGUGAGUAACGCGUGGGGAAUCUGCCUUUGAGCGGGGGACAACAUUUGGAAACGAAUGCUAAUACCGCAUAACAACUUUAAACAUAAGUUUUAAGUUUGAAAGAUGCAAUUGCAUCACUCAAAGAUGAUCCCGCGUUGUAUUAGCUAGUUGGUGAGGUAAAGGCUCACCAAGGCGAUGAUACAUAGCCGACCUGAGAGGGUGAUCGGCCACAUUGGGACUGAGACACGGCCCAAACUCCUACGGGAGGCAGCAGUAGGGAAUCUUCGGCAAUGGACGAAAGUCUGGCCGAGCAACGCCGCGCGAGUGAAGAAGGUUUUCGGAUCGUAAAACUCUGUUGGUAGAGAAGAACGUUGGUGAGAGUGGAAAGCUCAUCAAGUGACGGUAACUACCCAGAAAGGGACGGCUAACUACGUG
rnacentral:rRNA from 1 species